rnacentral:rRNA from 1 species
GCUAGUAAUCGUAGGUCAGCAUACUACGGUGAAUACGUUCCCGGGCCUUGUACACACCGCCCGUCAACCAUGAGAGUUGGCAACACCCGAAGUCGGUAGUCUAACCGCAAGGAGGACGCCGCCGAAGGUGGGGUCGAUGAUUAGGGUUAAGUCGUAACAAGGUAUC